GUACUGCUAAAGAGUCGCAAACUAGGACUAAACAGCUGUCCAGUAC
rfam:Trichobilharzia regenti genome assembly, scaffold: TRE_scaffold0007116